AAAAGGUGGCUAUGCUACCGCUUUCGGAUGGGCCCGCGGCGCAUUAGCUAGUUGGUGGGGUAAAGGCUUACCAAGGCAAUGAUGCGUAGCCGAACUGAGAGGUUGAUCGGCCACAUUGGGACUGAGACACGGCCCAAACUCCUACGGGAGGCAGCAGUAGGGAAUCUUCCACAAUGGGCGAAAGCCUGAUGGAGCAACGCCGCGUGGGUGAAGAAGGUCUUCGGAUCGUAAAACCCUGUUGUUAGAGAAGAAAGUGCGUGAGAGUAACUGUUCACGUUUCGACGGUAUCUAACCAGAAAGCCACGGCUAACUACGUGCCAGCAGCCGCGGUAAUACGUAGGUGGCAAGCGUUAUCCGGAUUUAUUGGGCGUAAAGGGAACGCAGGCGGUCUUUUAAGUCUGAUGUGAAAGCCUUCGGCUUAACCGGAGUAGUGCAUUGGAAACUGGGAGACUUGAGUGCAGAAGAGGAGAGUGGAACUCCAUGUGUAGCGGUGAAAUGCGUAGAUAUAUGGAAGAACACCAGUGGCGAAAGCGGCUCUCUGGUCUGUAACUGACGCUGAGGUUCGAAAGCGUGGGUAGCAAACAGGAUUAGAUACCCUGGUAGUCCACGCCGUAAACGAUGAAUGCUAAGUGUUGGAGAGUUUCCGCCCUUCA
rnacentral:rRNA from 1 species